rnacentral:tRNA from 1 species
GGGGCCUUAGCUCAGUUUGGGAGAGCGCCUGCCUUGCACGCAGGAGGUCAGGGGUUCGAAUCCCCUAGGCUCCA